ensembl:antisense 4930507D10Rik RIKEN cDNA 4930507D10 gene
AGAUCACCUGUGCCCUUCAGUCAUAAGAUGCAGGGGCAUUUUAGAGGCAUCUAUUUCUCCAUUUCUUAUUUGUUUUUUUUUUUUUUCAGAAUCUUAGGUAGUUCAGCCUGACCUCAAAUCACUAUCUAUCUGAGGACAACUUGAGACGUCUGAUCCUCCCUCCCUCCCAAGAGAACUCCAGUUUGGUUCCUGAAACCCACAUCAGGAAGCUCACAGCCACCUGUGAGUCCAACUCCAUGGGAUCCAACAGCCUCUUCUGGACUCUGCCGGUACCCUACACAUGUGGCAUAUACACAGAGGCCUGAGUGCAAACUGAAGGGCAGUGGGAGUGAAUUCUCUACGGGGAUGCUACCAGUGUGUGGAAGAGAAGUCAGACAUGACCACAAAAUUCAACCUCCAAAAUUUUGUGCUUCAUCUGCAAAAUGAGAAUAAUGCUGUGUGCCCUUGAGAGGCCUGGCUUUCUACCAUCUGAACUCAGGCUCCUCCCCCUGAACAUCUCUGAAACCUGUUCUCCCUGGGCUGAGAUCAUAGCUCCCCUACAGUGCUCAGAGUGGGGGUGGGGAGGAAAAAUGUUAUCCACCCAACAUCCGAAGUUAUCUUCUCCCAAAUUUCAAAGGAAGAGCUAUGCUCCAGUUGCAUGAUGGUCAGUGGAACCGUAGGGGGUAUGGCUUGUCUUCCUGAGGAAUGAGGGCACUGUCUGACGAUACUUUUGUUUUAUCGUAAGUUGGAGCAAGGGAAGUUAUUGGCCCUUGACAAGUAGCAAUCAGGAACACUGAACCCUAGAGUACACCAGUCAGCCCUCACAGCAAAUAUUCCAUCUAUCAGUUGCAAGGUAGAAACACUCACAGAAUAGAACAGCUUCAGCCUUGAUCCCUCUCUGCCUCUACCUUUUGUGUGAUGUUAGAUAGGGCACUUCAUUACUCUGGACCACAUUUAGUGUCCUGAGUCGUAGGAUAAGAUGGUUUGACUUGAUGGUCUAAAUGGCCUGUCAUUCUCGAAGUCUUUGCGUACGGUGUUGAGUCUCCCAAGUCAAAGCAAGCAUCCCCAUCUCCGUUCCCUCAACUAUAAAAUAGGACUGAAUAUCCUUACUUCAUUGCUCCUACUAUGGUAUGAGAGGAAAAGUUAACUAACAAUUAUAAAAUUGUCUUAC